rnacentral:rRNA from 1 species
CCUACGGGGGGCAGCAGUGAGGAAUAUUGGUCAAUGGCCGUGAGUCUGAACCAGCCAAGUAGCGUGAAGGAUGAAUGUCCUAUGGGUUGUAAACUUCUUUUAUAUGGGAAUAAAAUGUUCCACGUGUGGAUUUUUGUAUGUACCUUAUGAAUAAGCAUCGGCUAACUCCGUGCCAGCAGCCGCGGUAAUACGGAGGAUGCGAGCAUUAUCCGGAUUUAUUGGGUUUAAAGGGUGCGUAGGUGGGUUGUUAAGUCAGUGGUGAAAGUUUGUGGCUCAACCGUAGAAUUGCCGUUGAAACUGGCAGUCUUGAGUAUGUUAGAGGUAGGCGGAAUUCGCGGUGUAGCGGUGAAAUGCUUAGAUAUCACGCAGAACUCCGAUUGCGAAGGCAGCUUACUGGGCUAGAACUGACACUGAGGCACGAAAGCGUGGGUAUCAAACAGGAUUAGAUACCCGUGUAGUC